rnacentral:rRNA from 1 species
AUACGAAGGGUGCAAGCGUUACUCGGAAUUACUGGGCGUAAAGCGUGCGUAGGUGGUUGUUUAAGUCUGUCGUGAAAGCCCUGGGCUCAACCUGGGAAUGGCGAUGGAAACUGGGCGACUAGAGUGUGGCAGAGGGUAGUGGAAUUCCUGGUGUAGCAGUGAAAUGCGUAGAGAUCAGGAGGAACAUCCGUGGCGAAGGCGACUGCCUGGGCCAACACUGACACUGAGGCACGAAAGCGUGGGGAGCAAACAGGAUUAGAUACCCUGGUAGUCCACGCCCUAAACGAUGCGAACUGGAUGUUGGGUGCAAUUUGGCACGCAGUAUCGAAGCUAACGCGCUAAGUUCGCCGCCUGGGGAGUACGGUCGCAAGACUGAAACUCAAAUGAAUUGACGGGG